AUUGAACGCUGGCGGCAUGCUUUACACAUGCAAGUCGAACGGCAGCAUGGGCUUCGGCCUGAUGGCGAGUGGCGAACGGGUGAGUAAUAUAUCGGAACGUACCCAAGAGUGGGGGAUAACGUAGCGAAAGUUACGCUAAUACCGCAUACGAUCCAAGGAUGAAAGUGGGGGACCUUCGGGCCUCAUGCUCCUGGAGCGGCCGAUAUCUGAUUAGCUAGUUGGUAGGGUAAAGGCCUACCAAGGCAUCGAUCAGUAGCUGGUCUGAGAGGACGACCAGCCACACUGGAACUGAGACACGGUCCAGACUCCUACGGGAGGCAGCAGUGGGGAAUUUUGGACAAUGGGCGCAAGCCUGAUCCAGCAAUGCCGCGUGCAGGAAGAAGGCCUUCGGGUUGUAAACUGCUUUUGUACGGAACGAAACGGUCCUGGUUAAUACCUGGGGCUAAUGACGGUACCGUAAGAAUAAGCACCGGCUAACUACGUGCCAGCCGCCGCUGUAAAAC
rnacentral:rRNA from 1 species